ACUGGGGAGACGCUCCCCACCCCUCGCGGACUUCGGAAUUGGUUGGCGGCCAGACGGGCGCCGCGGCCGCGGCGCGUUUCCGCAGUUUGUCGAGCCCCGAGGAUGCGCGCCCUGCCAGCCCUGGACGCGCCCCCGCGCGAGCGCCUCCUGUCCCGGGACUCCGGGGCCCCCCGGGCCCGGGACGCGGCGGGGCCGACGCGCAGGAGCGCGGUGGAAAGGCUGGCAGCCGACCGCUCCAAGUACGUGCGGGGCCCGCCGGGAGCCGGCCCAGGCCCGGCUUGCGAGGGCAGCAGCCCCGGGGCGAACCAAGGGCAGGCGGGCGACCCUCGGCCCCCGGCGCGCGUCCCCGGUCCGGUGGCGCGCAGGGCCAUAGCGCGGAAGCCGCUGAGGCCGGACUCGCUGGUUAUCUACCGACAGAAAUGCGAGUUCGUCCGAGGGUCGGGAGCCGACAGCCCCAGGGGAGGCCUGGUGAAGAAGCUCUUCCAGGGGCCGAGCAAGGACAAGACGCCGGGGUCGCCCGGCACGUCCCGGGUGGGAGAGGAGGGCGGGGCCAGGGCUCCGGAGGCCGCCCCGACCGAGCCCGGCCCCGUCGCGGCUCCCGCGGUGCCAGGCCCCUCCGCGCCCCCGGCCCCCGCCCCGCCGGUCAGGGCGCCCUCCAGAGUCCCGGCUGCGCCCCGGGGUCCGGAGCUGCUCGGGGCGAGGCACCGGGGGCUGCAGCGCUCGCAGUCCGACCUCAGCUCGCGCUACUCCGCGUCCUUGGCCGAAUUUGACACUUUCUUCCAGUACUGCGGCCUGGAGCCCGAGGUGGUGGAGGCGCUCGGGCGGGAGAACUUCUCCGCCGGGUCGGACCUCGUCGCCCUCAAGGUCCGCAGCGUGAGCGUCGCCACCUCCGACAGCGGCUUCUCCCGGCACAGCGGCGGCGACGAGGGGCUGCAGGAGGGAGAGCUGACGGAGCAGGUGCCCAGCACCACCUCGGUGGUCGAGAGGAACGCCCGCAUCAUCAAGUGGCUGUACACCUGUAAGAAGGCCAAGGAGACCCCCGGCCAGGAGCUGCAGGGCCCGGCGUGACCGCUGCGCCCCGGGAGACCCGGACCGAGGAAGCAAGCCUUCCCGACAGUGGGGACUCCUUGAAGUACAUCUGGAUGAUUGGGACCCCAGGGCCAUCCUCACUGCCAGGUUUUGUCCAGUGUACCCAGGUGUCCAUAUGAUUGCUGUUUUCCCAGGAAUAAAGCACACCAUUGAAGAAGCCUAAGCAAUUUCAGAAGGUUUGAAGUGCUAUGGAGAAGAUGGGAGCAUAGAACUGGGAAAUUAGCUGAGUUAUAACUGUUACGACACAGCUGAAGCUCUGGAGGAUAUUUUCUUGCGUUAGGUGGACCUAUCCUUGCUUCCAGAGAGCUCCGGAAGAGGGAAAAGCUGCUUGGAAAUAUUUUCAAGGGCAUCUUUUUGAGUGGCUUGCUGACAAAGAGGUACAAUGAUACAUUUUAAUGAUAUCUAAAUUAAUUUUAAAAAGAAAAAAAGGCAAAGAGCAUGAAAAGCAAACAUGAAUGCCACGGUAUUUACUUCUUCAGUCAUAUUGGAUGGAUUGGCACCAUCUAAAUCAAAGUUCUGUGAUCAGAAGAAGUUAUAUUCUACACAAAUUCUCUGGCUAACAAAGAGCAAACACAUGCUCACACUUGCAUACUCACAUGUAAACCUCAAUUUCUAAGCACCACUGCCCUGUAAACUACAGUGAAUUGCCAAACUGUGCAACUGAUCAUCUUAUGAAAUGAAUCAGAAAGCACUUUUAAAACCACUUGUGAGCUGCAAGGUCAUUCUGUGAACGCCACUCCUGUUGGGUUGUAGACAUGCAGAGGUACCAUUAAAAGAUAAAGAGCUGAAAUACUGUUAGGAAACCUUUUCUUGUACCUGGACAGUUCCUUGAGAGUUGGCAGAAGAAUAUUGGAGCUUCGUUCCUUCAGAUCAACAGCAGUGGUCCUCUUCUGCAGCACCGUUUAGAAUGUGCCUCCAUGGUUCUCUUGUUCCCAGCUUCCAAAAGGAUAAAAAGCCUCGGUUUAGACAGAACAUGGACUCAUGACAUGUGACGUGCCCUGCUCUCUGGUCUAAUUCACACGCCCACCUAUCAGGCCAUCAUUCCAAAGUUGGCAACACUUCACCCUUCUCUGAAAAGGGUGUGUUUGAGACAAGGGUUAGCCUCUGGGUGUCGGUAAGGAGUUACUGUGACCCUAAAUCUGAACCAGCUCGUGACACUCAGAGUAAAUAGAUUUCAGAUUCCGAAACUUCUGAGAGGAAUUUUGUAUCGAUGGUGACAACCCAAAGAAAAUUUGUCACCUGGUCAAAGCUUACAAUGUUUUAUCAAAAUAUGUCCCUUCAAGAAUAAAAUUAUUAGAAGAAUCGGGAGGGAAGAGAAAUAGGUUUCUCAAUGAUUAUCAGUAGAAAUGAGGAGCGCAUUCUAAAACUUGACCCAGGAGAGCCAUGUGGUACCCAACGUCUCCAGUUCUCCCAGGAGAGCCAUGUGGUACCCAACGUCUCCAGUUCUCCCAGGAGAGCCAUGUGGUACCCAACGUCUCCAGUUCUCCCAGGAGAGCCAUGUGGUACCCAACGUCUCCAGUUCUCCCAGGAGAGCCAUGUGGUAUCCGAAGUCUCCAGUUCUCCCAGGACAGCCAUGUGAUAUCCGAAGUCUCCAGUCCUCCCUGGAGACAGAAUGCAAUAAAAACAGUU